CGACCCCAGGUCAGGCGGGGCUACCAACUGAGUUUAA
rnacentral:rRNA from 1 species